rnacentral:piRNA from 1 species
UAAUGAAGUACUUAAAGUGACUGAAACUU